rnacentral:rRNA from 1 species
AUUGAACGCUGGCGGCAGGCCUAACACAUGCAAGUCGAGCGGAUGAAGGGGGCUUGCUCCUGGAUUCAGCGGCGGACGGGUGAGUAAUGCCUAGGAAUCUGCCUGGUAGUGGGGGAUAACGUCCGGAAACGGGCGCUAAUACCGCAUACGUCCUGAGGGAGAAAGUGGGGGAUCUUCGGACCUCACGCUAUCAGAUGAGCCUAGGUCGGAUUAGCUAGUUGGUGGGGUAAAGGCCUACCAAGGCGACGAUCCGUAACUGGUCUGAGAGGAUGAUCAGUCACACUGGAACUGAGACACGGUCCAGACUCCUACGGGAGGCAGCAGUGGGGAAUCUUGGACAAUGGGCGAAAGCCUGAUCCAGCCAUGCCGCGUGUGUGAAGAAGGUCUUCGGAUUGUAAAGCACUUUAAGUUGGGAGGAAGGGAAGUAAGUUAAUACCUUGCUGUUUUGACGUUACCAACAGAAUAAGCACCGGCUAACUUCGUG